UACGGGGGGGGCAAGCGUUGUUCGGAAUUACUGGGCGUAAAGGGCUCGUAGGUGGCCAACUAAGUCAGACGUGAAAUCCCUCGGCUUAACCGGGGAACUGCGUCUGAUACUGGAUGGCUUGAGUUCGGGAGAGGGAUGCGGAAUUCCAGGUGUAGCGGUGAAAUGCGUAGAUAUCGGAGGAACACCGGUGGCGAAGGCGGCAUCCUGGACCGACACUGACACUGAGGAGCGAAAGCCAGGGGAGCAAACGGG
rnacentral:rRNA from 1 species